CAGGAUGAACGCUAGCGGGAGGCCUAACACAUGCAAGCCGAGCGGUAGAGAUUCUUCGGAAUCUUGAGAGCGGCGUACGGGUGCGGAACACGUGUGCAACCUACCUUUAUCAGGGGGAUAGCCUUUCGAAAGGAAGAUUAAUACCCCAUAAUAUAUUGAAUGGCAUCAUUUAAUAUUGAAAACUCCGGUGGAUAGAGAUGGGCACGCGCAAGAUUAGAUAGUUGGUAGGGUAACGGCCUACCAAGUCAAUGAUCUUUAGGGGGCCUGAGAGGGUGAUCCCCCACACUGGUACUGAGACACGGACCAGACUCCUACGGGAGGCAGCAGUGAGGAAUAUUGGACAAUGGGUGAGAGCCUGAUCCAGCCAUCCCGCGUGAAGGACGACGGCCCUAUGGGUUGUAAACUUCUUUUGUAUAGGGAUAAACCUACUCUCGUGAGAGUAGCUGAAGGUACUAUACGAAUAAGCACCGGCUAACUCCGUGCCAGCAGCCGCGGUAAUACGGAGGGUGCAAGCGUUAUCCGGAUUUAUUGGGUUUAAAGGGUCCGUAGGCGGAUCUGUAAGUCAGUGGUGAAAUCUCAUAGCUUAACUAUGAAACUGCCAUUGAUACUGCAGGUCUUGAGUAAAGUAGAAGUGGCUGGAAUAAGUAGUGUAGCGGUGAAAUGCAUAGAUAUUACUUAGAACACCAAUUGCGAAGGCAGG
rnacentral:rRNA from 1 species